AUUAUCCAACGAGCCACGUGAUUGGUGGAUCGCGAUCAUGUGACUCCACCUACGGGCGCCGACCAAUCGGAAGGUCGGUAUUAAAGGGAAAAGCGUGGACGCCUCUGCGGCUACGUUGCCAAGGAUCGAACGACGGUCCUAACCUAGUCACGCCCUCGUAGCUCGCGCAGGGCCGACGCAACAAAAGCGAGACAAUGAGCAUCGCCCUGUGUGGUGUGAGAACACACGCGAAAUUUUUCCGCGCGCGACUUCACGGCCGUCGGAUACUUUUCCCCGGUACUGUCAAAUUAACGAAUUUGGCAGUAGAUUGGAAACUUAUCGUGGAGUUCUUUUUUUCUCUUUUAAAAACUUUUAAGAAUUUUGAGCGCUGUUCCUGUUCGAGUCGCAGGAAGGAUGUCGCAGAAUUACGAAAAAUUUAGAAGUGAAAAAUACCGACGACCACGUGGUGCUUUCAUCCUGAUCGAUUCGCGUUCUUACCUCAUGGAAUUUGACAGUGUACGUUUACGGAGAACAGAGUGAAAAAUUUUGUACUAGUCAUCGGAGAUUCGCAACUAGUGGUCGUCCAACGUCUAGGUCGGCGGCGGCUGGACCGUGUUACCUGAAGAAGCAAUCUCUGUCGCAUGGAAUAACAUUUAGGCCGGACUGCUCGCUGCUCCACUGCAUCCUCGUUUGGCUAUAUAUAUAGGUAUACAUGUGUGUAUACAUACCUGCGCAACUGUGUUACGCCCCCUUCCGUGGGAGUCCUGCGCCAGAAGAUAUGAUCUUCUGUUUUCGUGUAAUCGGGAAGGCAGCGCUGGAGUAUCGUGGAAAAGGGAGCGGAGGAAAAGGAUACGGGAGUGUGAAAAAUAAUUUCCUGCCGUUGAUAUGUGGCGGAUCGGACGAGGAGAAAAGUCCUGGCCGGGGGAUAUCAAAAUAUUAUUCGAGGGUUACCUAGGGUAGCUCCGCAUUCUCGUGCCAUAUAGAAACCUUGCUGAGCCUAAAGUGGAUGGUUAUUGCCCUCAACCUGACCGCACACUCGCCUCAUACCUCGUGGCUGUACACGAAUUUCGUAUUUACCGCUUAAUCCUUCAUCCUUAUCCAAUUUAAUUCUAAGUAUUUCAAAUAUUC